rnacentral:rRNA from 1 species
GACGAACGCUGGCGGCGUGCUUAACACAUGCAAGUCGAACGGAAAGGCCCUGCUUUUGUGGGGUGCUCGAGUGGCGAACGGGUGAGUAACACGUGAGUAACCUGCCCUUGACUUUGGGAUAACUUCAGGAAACUGGGGCUAAUACCGGAUAGGAGCUCCUGCUGCAUGGUGGGGGUUGGAAAGUUUCGGCGGUUGGGGAUGGACUCGCGGCUUAUCAGCUUGUUGGUGGGGUAGUGGCUUACCAAGGCUUUGACGGGUAGCCGGCCUGAGAGGGUGACCGGCCACAUUGGGACUGAGAUACGGCCCAGACUCAUACGGGAGGCAGCAGUGGGGAAUAUUGCACAAUGGGCGGAGGCCGGAUGCAGCAACGCCGCGUGCGGGAUGACGGCCUUCGGGUUGUAAACCGCUUUCGCCUGUGACGAAGCGUGAGUGACGGUAAUGGGUAAAGAAGCACCGGCUAACUACGU